UUUAAAAAAAAAAAAAAGAAAGAAAAGGAAAGAGUCAUUGAUUACUCUUGAUCCUUAGGACUUUUAGCUGCACCUGGUGUGACCACCUCAUUCUUCCCAGCAGGCUGACUACUUUAUUCUCUACCCACUCACUUCACCAGAUUGGUAAGAAGAGGAAGUCAGCUGACAAUGAAAGCCACUGUGAGCCUGGCAACAGUCAGAGUGCCUCAAUGCAGCUGUUAUUAUUAUCACAACUCUCAUGGAAGCAGGAGAGAUGGAUCCCAGAGCAACUGGCUGACUCAAGGGGAAUCUUGGUAAAACCUGGUCAGUCUUGAUCUGGAAGGAAGACUGAAGCAGCUCAAGGAUAUCAGGCGUGUGCCCCGGGCGGUGCUGCCAAUGAGUGCUUGAAGUUCAAUGACCAUGUGCUAGGAAAAUGCAUUCAGCAAGAGAAACAGGACAUCUCCUGCUUCCAGUAGAAUUCAUUUCGAGUUGGGACUUUAUAGAGCUCCCUCCACAGUGAAGUCCCUGCAGGAUCUUAUUAUAAGAGGACCUCGUUUUCAUCUUGCUUCCACAGACAACUCCUAUGAUGCCGUUUUCUGAGGCUCUAGAGUAUAAUCUAUGCAUUUCCUGCCUGCCAAGAAAUUCAGCUCUUUCCUUUCUCA
rnacentral:lncRNA from 1 species